CCUACGGGAGGCAGCAGUGGGGAAUAUUGCACAAUGGGCGGAAGCCUGAUGCAGCGACGCCGCGUGAGGGAUGAAGGCCUUCGGGUUGUAAACCUCUUUCAGCAGGGACGAAGCGUGAGUGACGGUACCUGCAGAAGAAGCACCGGCUAACUACGUGCCAGCAGCCGCGGUAAUACGUAGGGUGCGAGCGUUGUCCGGAAUUACUGGGCGUAAAGAGUUCGUAGGCGGUUUGUCGCGUCGUUUGUGAAAACCCGGGGCUCAACUUCGGGCUUGCAGGCGAUACGGGCAGACUUGAGUGUUUCAGGGGAGACUGGAAUUCCUGGUGUAGCGGUGAAAUGCGCAGAUAUCAGGAGGAACACCGGUGGCGAAGGCGGGUCUCUGGGAAACAACUGACGCUGAGGAACGAAAGCGUGGGUAGCAAACAGGAUUAGAUACCCUGGUAGUCCACGCCGUAAACGGUGGGCGCUAGGUGUGGGUUCCUUCCACGGGAUCUGUGCCGUAGCUAACGCAUUAAGCGCCCCGC
rnacentral:rRNA from 2 species